AGAGUGUGCUCAGAGCAGGGGACUAAAGAUUGGUUCCUCUGUUUAUAAUACACCCAAUAGGAAUCUGGGGUUUUGUAAGGAAGGGCACAAAAAUGGAGUGGCCUUACCAAGGUUCCUUUUGAUGU
rfam:Ictidomys tridecemlineatus contig002716, whole genome shotgun sequence.